rnacentral:rRNA from 1 species
UACGUAGGUGGCGAGCGUUGUCCGGAUUUAUUGGGCGUAAAGCGCGCGCAGGCGGUCGCGUAAGUCUGCUGUGAAAUCUCCCUGGCUCAACCGGGAGGGGCGGCGGAGACUGCGGGACUGGAGGGACCUAGAGGCCGGUGGAAUUCCCGGUGUAGUGGUGAAAUGCGUAGAGAUCGGGAGGAACACCUGUGGCGAAGGCGGCCGGCUGGGGGUGCCCUGACGCUG